UGAUCCCAAUCACGUGGAUGAUCCUGAUCCCAUGCCCAUGGAUGAUCCCAGUCACGUGGAUGAUCCCAAUCCCGUUCCCAUGGAUGAUCCCAGUCACGUGGAUGAUCCUGAUCACGUGGAUGAUCCCGAUCCCAUUCCCCUGGAUGAUCCCAGUCACGUGGAUGAUCCCAAUCUAAAUGACCCCGAUGAUCCCAUUCCCCUGGAUGAUCCCAGUCACGUGGAUGAUCCCAAUCCCGUUCCCAUGGAUGAUCCCAGUCACAUGGAUGAUCCUGAUCACGUGGAUGAUCCCGAUCCCAUGCCCAUGGAUGAUCCCAAUCACGUGGAUGAUCCCAAUCUAAAUGACCCCGAUGAUCCCAUUCCCCUGGAUGAUCCCAAUCACGUGGAUGAUCCCAGUUCCGUUCCCAUGGAUGGUCCAAAUCACGUGGAGGAUCCCAAUCCCAUGCCCAUGGAUGAUCCCAGUCACGUGGAUGAUCCUGAUCACGUGGAUGAUCCCAGUUCCAUUUCCAUGGAUGAUCCAAAUCACCUGGAUGAUCCCAAUCUAAAUGACCCCCAUGAUCCCAAUCACGUGGAUGAUCCCAAUCACGUGGAUGAUCCCAAUCCCGUUCCCAUGGAUGAUCCCAAUCACGUGGAUGAUCCCAGUUCCGUUCCCAUGGAUGAUCCCAAUCACGUGGAUGAUCCCAAUUCUGUUCCCAUGGAUGAUCCCAAUCACGUGGAUGAUCCCGAUCCCAAGCCCAUGGAUGAUCCCAGUCACGUGGAUGAUCCCGAUCCUGUUCCCAUGGAUGAUCCCAAUCACAUGGAUGAUCCCAGUUCCGUUCCCCUGGAUGAUCCAAAUCACGUGGAUGAUCCCAAUCUAAAUGACCCCAAUGAUCCCAUUCCCCUGGAUGAUCCCAAUGACCUCAAUGUUCCCUUGGAUGAUCCCAGUGAUCCUGAUGACCCCGUUUUCCUGGAUGUCCCUGAUGUUCCCCCAAUGACCCCAACGAUCCCGUUCCCAUGGAUGAUCCCGAUGACCCCAACGAUCCCAUUCCCAUGGAUGAUCCUGAUCUGAUUCCCCCGGAUGAUCCCAUUCUUGAAUGAUCCCAUUCCCGAUGACUCCGAUGACCCCAUUCCCCUGGAUGACCCCACUGACCCCAUUCACCUGGACGACCCUGAUGAUCCCAAUGACCCCAUUCCCCCAUUGACCCCAAUGAUCCCAUUCUCCUGGAUGACCCUGCUGACCCCACUGAUCCCAUUCCUCCGGAUGACCCCGAUGACCCCAUUCCCCUGGACAACCCUGAUGAUCCCAAUGACCCCAUUCCCCUGGAUGACCCCAAUGACCCCAUUCCCCUGGACAACCCUGAUGAUCCCACUGACC
rnacentral:lncRNA from 1 species